rnacentral:misc_RNA from 1 species
GAUGAAGAACGCAGUGAAACGCGAUAAGUAAUGUGAAUUGCAGAAUUCAGUGAAUCAUCGAAUCUUUGAACGCACAUUGCGCCCGCCAGUAUUCUGGCGGGCAUGCCUGUUCGAGCGUCAUUUCAACCAUCAAGCCCCCGGCUUGUGUUGGGGACCUGCGGCUGCCGCAGGCCCUGAAAAGCAGUGGCGGGCUCGCUGUCACACCGAGCGUAGUAGCAUACAUCUCGCUCUGGGCGUGCUGCGGGUUCCGGCCGUUAAACCACCUUCAUAACCCAAGGUUGACCUCGGAUCAGGUAGGAAGACCCGCUGAACUUAAGCAUAUCAAUAAGCGGAGGA